UACGGGGGGAGCAAGCGUUGUUCGGAUUUACUGGGCGUAAAGGGCGCGUAGGCGGCCUCCGCAAGUCAGUUGUGAAAUCUCCGAGCUUAACUCGGAAAGGUCAACUGAUACUGCGGGGCUAGAGUGCGGAAGGGGCAACUGGAAUUCUUGGUGUAGCGGUGAAAUGCGUAGAUAUCAAGAGGAGCACCUGCGGCGAAGGCGGGUUGCUGGGCCGACACUGACGCUGAGGCGCGAAAGCUAGGGGAGCGAACGGG
rnacentral:rRNA from 1 species